rnacentral:rRNA from 1 species
UACGAAGGGGGCUAGCGUUGCUCGGAAUCACUGGGCGUAAAGCGCGCGUAGGCGGGUCGUUAAGUCAGGGGUGAAAUCCCGAGGCUCAACCUCGGAACUGCCUUUGAUACUGGCGACCUGGAGUCCGGGAGAGGUGAGUGGAACUCCUAGUGUAGAGGUGAAAUUCGUAGAUAUUAGGAAGAACACCAGUGGCGAAGGCGGCUCACUGGCCCGGUACUGACGCUGAUGCGCGAAAGCGUGGGGAGCAAACAGG